rnacentral:tRNA from 1 species
GCUCAUUUAAUUCAGUUGGUUAGAAUGCUUGUCUGAUACGCAAGAAGUCCUUGGUUCAAAUCCAAGAAUGAGCA